GAUCAUGGCUCAGGAUGAACGCUAGCUACAGGCUUAACACAUGCAAGUCGAGGGGCAUCAGUUUGGUUUGCUUGCAAACCAAAGCUGGCGACCGGCGCACGGGUGAGUAACACGUAUCCAACCUGCCUCAUACUCGGGGAUAGCCUUUCGAAAGAAAGAUUAAUAUCCGAUAGCAUAUAUUUCCCGCAUGGGUUUUAUAUUAAAGAAAUUCGGUAUGAGAUGGAAAUGCGUUCCAUUAGUUUG
rnacentral:rRNA from 1 species